CCCGCCCCCACUUCUAGGCUUGGUUGAACCGUGCAGAUACCUUUUCGAAACAAAAGGUUUUCCUACCUGCUUAUACUUGGUAACCGAGGGAAUUACUAAGACUUCUUGCUCAUUUCUGAGUAUUGUCUUUAUAUCCUGACACUAUGAAUGCUACUUGGAUGCCUCUUAAGGUAAGAUGUGUUAUUUUUUCAUUACCAGCCUCAUUCAUUUUUCUUUAGAAUUGGGAAUAUUGUAAUUUUUGAAUUUGCUAUUCUUCACUUCCUUUACCUGCCAUUUCUCUUGCCUCUUGUGUUUGCUUCCUAGGAUUGAUUGGCUAUAUCUUACUUUGUAUUGCUACUGUUCUUUGAUUAUCGGUGUGAACGUUUUAAUGAAGUUCUCAAAUUAACUUCCAUUAUAAUGAAAGGCAGUGAUCUUUUUAACUUUAAAUUAUGGCAACUUACAUAGUUGUAAAAUUAUGUUCCAAUCUUAGGAUGGGUUGGCAAUUCAAACAUCUAGGUCCACUUUUCAAACAGGUACUUUAGAGUCAUAGGUACUAGGGUGUGUCCCACUCUUGCAAAUCAGUAGCUGAUUCAUGUGUUACAAAAGAUGUGUCAUUAACCAUUUGUUUACUCUGAAACUUCAUAUAGUAUAUUAGGCCAUUCUAAGACCUGCUGGUUUACAUGUAUGACUCUUUCAGAGUCCUCCUGCUGCACCCCAGUCCUUUGUGUGACAUUUCAUACUAUUUUUCUCAGCAGGUAGUACUUACACCAAGUUUUAUUUCACAGGGUAAACCUCAUUUGGACAGUGUGGACAGAUGACCUUUAGAUGAAAAAGCUCCCAUUGAUGCGGUUCUCCAGUCUCUUUGGCUCCUCUAAUCUCUUGUACAUAGAUGGCCAAAGAACUCUCCAUUAGGACUAAGCAAAGGGCAGAGCUUAAGACUUAAGUAGGUGGCUUCUUUGAUUUUCUUGUGACUAAAAAUACAUUAAAAAAAUAAAAACAAACAGAAAAGACGUAAGGAGGGGAUGGGAGGAAGGACAGAGGAUAAGGAGUCUUGGAAACCCUCCACCAGCUCGCCUUUCUUCAGAGUUGGAUACUAGCUUAGUUAAGACUAUUGUGUGCUAAUCUGCUCUGUGGACUUCCAGAUUGAUGCAGAAGAGAAAUCAGGCAAUAAUGCAGUGUGUGUAACCUAAAUAUCUGGACUUGUGGGAAAUCUUAGGUCAUGUAGACUGAGUUCUCAUCUUCAUUUAUGUUUCAGCUGCUAUUGCUGGAUAAGAGUGCUUAUAUUAAUAUACAGGAAGCCAAAGUGACACAAUUUUUCCAGCAUUCUCCCUGUAGAGUUGGAGGGGUUGCAUGGGGAAUGCAACCAGAAGUUCUGAACCCGUUAAGAAUCGGAGGACCUGUGUAAGAGUGUUUCGACUUAGCAAGUGUUGAGCACCAGUGUUGGUGGCCUCUGUCCUCUUUAGGAAGCAGGCAAGGGGAUUGAGAUCAAUAUAUUGGAUUUGAUUUUAUAGUUUCCUAGGUUUUAACGAAUGUAUUUGGUACACAAAGCCCUACUUUUAAAGAUAUUUCCAGUGUUUAAGGUUUUACCUCUAAAUCUCUCUGAACCUGGGUUGUAAUACAGUAACCUCAGAAGUUCUACUAGAGGUCUCUGGCAUGGCAGGAAUAGAGAAAGGAAAUCAGCUCCAUACUGUGAGUUACCACCUGUUACUACUUAAGAAUGCAGUUAGGUGGCUGCCUUAAUUUUAUGUUCCUUACCAAUCCUUUGCUCAGUGGGAAACAUCUUCUAAGUGUAAACCAAUUUUUGGGGGUAAUAUUUUCUUCCUAUUUUUAUUACUAAGAAACCUUAAAAAUUACAGCGUUCGUCUGGUCAGAAAAAAAGGUCCUUUCUACGGGGAGGAUAGCAUUGAGUUUGUGGGCUGGAAAAUAAAAGCGGGGAGAGGGAUCUUUAUUCUCUUUUUCAUUGGUGAAUAUCCUUAAAACAUUUCUAAGAUGUAGUUUCAGAUUGGAGCUACUUAAUUUAAGUAAAAAGAAAUGAUAGGUUAAUUAAAGUGCAUAUUUUGGAGCCCAAAUGUUUAUUUUAUAUAGCUCUUAUAUUUUGUUUCCAAUUAUCUUAUUGUAGAAUGAACUCUGUCGUUCUGUCAGGCAUUGCUUAAAUGUUAGACUGAGUAUGUGCUUGUUUCCAUGCAUAUAGAAAAUAGCGUCACACUCACUCAGUCUUCACAAAUGAAAAUGCCAGAGGAGGCAAGUAACAAGGAAGAAUAACUCCAAACCAAAACUCCUCAAUUUAAGGCACUCUCGUUAAUUAGAAGUUCUCAUGGAAAUUAUUAUUUAUCCCUUUUUCUCUAUGUUAGGCGUCUGUACCUUUUUAAAGCCUGAAUAUUUCUAGCCACGACUAAGCAAUGUCAGUGAUGUUACUAGGGUCUAGUUGUCAGGGUUAGGGCUAAGGAGUGGGUGAGAUGGGAGAGGAAUAGGGAAAGGAAGGAGAAUUGAGUGAGUUGGAGAAAAGAGUGAAAUGAAGAUGAGGAGGAGAGAAAAGAUACAGGGUCUUUAGUGUGUAGCAUAGAGCCAUCAUCAGUUGUCUCAGGUAGUUCUUAGGGCUGCUGGAUGCCUUGUGUGCUAGACUGAACUAUGGUGAAAUCAAGUAAAAACUGUUCUUGAC
rnacentral:sRNA from 1 species